GAGAUUCAACGGUCUACCGAAGAGAACAUGGCAGGCAAUACUGAAAACAGGGUACAAAGGCUUGUGGACUCAUUAAGAACAGCUGUACAGUGGUGCAAAGAAAAUGAGCACCGCUUUUUGCAAAAGGUCGAGAUGCCUGAUGUCCUGUUGAUGCCACCUGAAGAUGCUGCUAAUGCCGUAAAGGUGUUUCUAGAGACGCAUGACAGCAGUGAAGAAGAAAGAGAUGAAGCAAUUGUUCCUUUCUUGUUUCACUUCCAUACAUUUGCUGACAUGGACUUAUUCUUGACUGAAUUGUCAGAUAGAAGAAAACUUUUGGUAUUCACUAUUUUAAAAUAAAGCACUUGCGAAAGAGCCAUGAGGUGGGAGGAACAGUGACCCCAAUCUAGGAUGAGCCACAGAUCACGCUGUAACGCAACCUCAGUAUACAGCUCUUGCGGCCCACAGGAAAAUGGAAUAACUUACAAUGUUAUGUACAUAUAAUCUGUUGGAAUAUCUUCCACUCUAUUACAUUUUUACAUACGUUCAUACCUCUUUCUCCUUGUCCUGGCCACUCUUUCCCAUCUUUCACCCACUUCUGUCUGCUAGGGUGCAGGCUUGCUUACUUUAUAAAAAAAAUAAAUAAAUUCCAAAGAUGUUACUGCUUUGACAGCGAAUGUGUAAUCUCUUCAGAUCAGCCUUCCACCCCCCAAAUAAAAGUAUCAUUCCA